rnacentral:rRNA from 1 species
UACGUAGGGUGCGAGCGUUAAUCGGAAUUACUGGGCGUAAAGUGUGCGCAGGCGGCCGAGCAAGUCGAGUGUGAAAGCCCCGGGCUUAACUUGGGAAUUGCGCUCGAAACUACUUGGCUGGAGUGUGGCAGAGGAAGGUGGAAUUCCACGUGUAGCAGUGAAAUGCGUAGAGAUGUGGAGGAACACCGAUGGCGAAGGCAGCCUCCUGGGCUAGUACUGACGCUCAUGCACGAAAGCGUGGGGAGCAAACAGG